ACAGUCUUGACGGGGUGCAAUGGUAGGCUGAGAUCACUGCAAUAGCGGUGAAACCCGACGAACCUGAACUGGGUAAUGCCAGCGUAGGAAUCGAGCAACAGUGUGCG
rnacentral:ncRNA from 1 species